UCCGGGGUCGUCCAACGGCAGGACAUACGGCUCUGGACCGUAGAAUCGGGGUUCAAAUCCCUGCCCCGGAA
rnacentral:tRNA from 1 species